GCUUAUGGCCAGACUUCACUGAUCAUGUCCAAUCUUGCCUGAUGUCAGAAGCUAAGCAGAGUCGGGCUUGGUUAGUACUUGGAGGCGAGGCUGCCUGGGAAUACCAGGUGUUGUCAACA
rnacentral:rRNA from 1 species